UCUGACGGAGCACCGCCGCGUGAGUGAUAGAAGGUUUUCGGAUCUGUAAAACUCUGUUGUUAGGGAAGAACAAGUACCGUUCGAAUAGGGGGGGACCUUGCCGGUACCUAACCAGAAAGCCACGGCUAACUACGUGCCAGCAGCCGCGGUAAUACGUAGGUGGCAAGCGUUGUCCGGAAUUAUUGGGCGUAAAGCGCGCGCAGGCGGUUUCUUAAGUCUGAUGNGAAAGCCCCCGGCUCAACCGGGGAGGGUCAUUGGAAACUGGGGAACUUGAGUGCAGAAGAGGAGAGUGGAAUUCCACGUGUAGCGGUGAAAUGCGUAGAGAUGUGGAGGAACACCAGUGGCGAAGGCGACUCUCUGGUCUGUAACUGACGCUGAGGCGCGAAAGCGUGGGGAGCGAACAGGAUUAGAUACCCUGGUAGUCCACGCCGUAAACGAUGAGUGCUAAGUGUUAGAGGGUUUCCGCCCUUUAGUGCUGCAGCAAACGCAUUAAGCACUCCGCCUGGGGAGUACGGUCGCAAGACUGAAACUCAAAGGAAUUGACGGGGGCCCG
rnacentral:rRNA from 1 species